rnacentral:rRNA from 1 species
UACGGGGGGGGCAAGCGUUGUUCGGAAUUACUGGGCGUAAAGGGCUCGUAGGCGGCCAACUAAGUCAGACGUGAAAUCCCUCGGCUUAACCGGGGAACUGCGUCUGAUACUGGAUGGCUUGAGUUCGGGAGAGGGAUGCGGAAUUCCCGGUGUAGAGGUGAAAUUCGUAGAUAUCGGGAGGAACACCGGUGGCGAAGGCGGCGAUCUGGGUCGAUACUGACGCUGAGGUGCGAAAGCGUGGGGAGCAAACAGG